UACGAAGGGGGCUAGCGUUGCUCGGAAUCACUGGGCGUAAAGGGUGCGUAGGCGGGUCUUUAAGUCAGGGGUGAAAUCCUGGAGCUCAACUCCAGAACUGCCUUUGAUACUGAAGAUCUUGAGUUCGGGAGAGGUGAGUGGAACUGCGAGUGUAGAGGUGAAAUUCGUAGAUAUUCGCAAGAAUACCAGUGGCGAAGGCGGCUCACUGGCCCGGUACUGACGCUCAUGUGCGAAAGCGUGGGGAGCAAACAGG
rnacentral:rRNA from 1 species